CCUACGGGUGGCUGCAGUCAGGAAUAUUGGUCAAUGGCCGUAAGGCUGAACCAGCCAAGUAGCGUGAGGGAAGACUGCACUGUGGGUCGUAAACCUCUUUUAUGAGGGGAUAAAGGUUUCCACGCGUGGAUGUUUGCAGGUACCGCAUGAAUAAGCACCGGCUAAUUCCGUGCCAGCAGCCGCGGUAAUACGGAAGGUGCGGGCGUUAUCCGGAUUUAUUGGGUUUAAAGGGUGCGCAGGCGGAUUUUUAAGUCAGCGGUCAAAUCGUGGGGCUCAACCCCGGCCAGCCGUUGAAACUGGGGGUCUAGAGUGGGCGAGAGGUAUGCGGAAUGCGCGGUGUAGCGGUGAAAUGCAUAGAUAUCGCGCAGAACCCCGAUUGCGAAGGCAGCAUGCCGGUGCCCAACUGACGCUGAGGCACGAAAGCGUGGGUAUCGAACAGGAUUAGAUACCCGGGUAGUC
rnacentral:rRNA from 1 species